CCCCUCUGUGACCCCAUUGACUGCAGCCCAGGAUGUCCAUGGGAUUUUCCAGACACCAACCUGUAACCCAGAAACAGAGGUAUUUGUAAUCAAGCUUUGGCCUGAGGCAUUAUGAAGGAGGAGUUGAAUCCAGGGGUCUUGGAUUUAAACAUGCUGAAUCCAGAUGGACCCACACUCUUUUAUCAUUAUUAAGUCAAGCAAGGCUUUUAAAAGGAGGCAUCAAAUCAAGCAACUUAUUCAAGGCCACAGUGAAUAGAAGCUGGACCAGAAUUCCUGGAUGUGUACUGCCUCCUCCUUCGUUCUCUCUGUCCCAUCCCCUGACAACUUCUGCCUCUUCUAGCUCUCUACCCCUCCAGAUGCCUCAUUCCUGCUUGGAAAGCUGUGUUCUCAAACACUCAUCCACGUAUUAAGCUGACAUCUGCUUCUCUGGAACUUGCAUCGUCUGUCUGCCCACCAGAGUAGCACAUAAGCCAGUCCCUCUGCCCUCUGAUAGUCCUUCCAGUGUCUGCACUCCUGAAUCACGCAUCCUCUUCGCCUUUUCUUCUCCAAGCUAAAAGUCUACAACUGCUGUACCUCUUCCCUGUGAUACCUUCCUACAGCUGUGCUUCUUCCUCUAUGUAUAGUGCACUCAGACUACAAAUUCAAACUUCUGCAGACACCAGACCAGUAAUGAAAAUAAACAGAGCAGCAGGCCAGGUACAGCAAGUCACAUGAGCUUCUCAUUUUUUAUUUUCCCACUUUUCAUAGAGACAAGGAUACUGAAAAGUUUUUCU
ensembl:lncRNA